rnacentral:lncRNA from 1 species
CUUUCUUCUCUACAUAAGUGGCAGACUUAAGAUAAGCCCAGGGUCUCUUAAACAUGCCUGCCUCUGAAUAAACACAGUGGGCAUGAUGUGUUACAGGCUGCAUUACUGAGAAUCAUCCGGCUGUGGAGGAGAAGAGGACUGUAUUUAUAUUUUUGUAGAUGCUGGGGAGUCACCUGUCUUCAAAGGAUGCUGGACAGGCUGGAAGACAUCAGGAAGCACACUCACGUCAUGCCUUUCGGAGGCAAUAAUCAGUUGAAUACCAUCGAACAGUCACGUUGCAGCAAUUGGUGUACAGAGGAUGCAUGUGCUGGUGCCUGAGGCUGGGAAUGCAUAGCUACAGGUCUGCUCCCAUGGAAUAGAGACAGUCAUGUUCUUAAUAUAAAACACGAUGGAAUCCAGCUUGUUUGAGCUUUUUACUGUUGCUUUCCCAGCAGGUUUCUGUGCCCACUCCCUCUGCUAAACCACCUGUUCCAUCAGAUUCAUAUUUUGCAGGGAAACCUCUUCAAAAAGACUAAGCACCUGGCCAAAGCUUGUGGGCAACUUAUCUGGCAGCUUUGGGGAGACCCAGCAGUGUUCCUCCUGCAUGGUAGAGAAGUUUUGAAGAGGUGUAGAGUCUCAGGGAAUUUGCCUAAGCUUCUGCCUACUGCUUUGUGCUUAAUUCAGUCUGUGUAUAAGAAUCCUGUAAACUUCGUUGCUGGGAUUAGGAUGGCGUCAGUCCCUGGGCCUGGCCCCCGUGGAGUAAAGGCAGCUAGAGAUGCUGGGGACGUGCGGUGGAAAGGGCCAGCACCAUCUCCCUCUGGAUCCAAGUCCUGUCUGUGCA